UGAGCCACAGCAGGUUUCAAUUCCUGAUUCAAUCACAGACACAAGCUUCUGUGCUCUGCGUUGCCUCGGAGCACCUGGUUCUCUGGGAUUUCUGUGCUGCAGUGGGCACCUUAACAAGGCAACAAUGUUUUCUCAGGGAACACUGAGGAAGAAUAUCUCAAAAUGGAAAAAGAAGCUUUUACAGGAUUGGCACCAGAUUACAGUUAUGAAUGGCAACCCUGCAUCCAACUCUGUCAAGCAGAAUCCAAGCAGAAAGGUGGAAGAGCAGAGCACGAGGCUGGCACACAAAUGCCCUCUUCUUCCUUGCUGUCCCUCCACCAGAUGAGCCCCAGGUGGUUUCGAAGUGAUGCAGCCCCUGCAGCUGCAGUGUGUUUGGUGUGCAAGAGUCCUGACAGAAAUCCAAGUCCCCACUUGGUGUGACUACACAUGGAGGAGGCAAAGUCAGUGCAGUGUUUACAUCCAAAAUCUUGUUUUGCUGCAGAUGAGCAGUGCCCCAACCAAAACUCAUCCUGAGACAGCAAAUCUCUAUCAAAAGAGCUGCUGCUGUGAUUGCACAGCUUGCUCAAAUUGCGAAGCCUGGAGAGAUCCUUUGGUGUCAAGUUUUGAAACCAAUGGGUUGGCUUAAAUAUAAUGGAAAUUGAGCACCUGUGGAAAAUGCCUGUGAAUACAUAAAAGGUUGGACACUCAAUAACUGAAAGUCAGAUAACAGAAAUGUGCUUCGGGGUUCUGGUCCUUGUUGGACAAGUUGUAAACCAACAGAUAUACCAUUAGGUUUAAAACUGCUUCUCUCUCUUUUUUUUUUUUUUUUUUUUUAAUUUAUUUCUUAAUUUUUCCUUUUGGCUUUAACUGCCCACCACCACUAUACCUUUAAUAUUUCAUUGUUUGCUCUGGAGCCAUGUGGACUAAGCCUAUGACAUGCGAGGUUCACCCUGCCAAAAGGCAUAUCUGAGGAGCAGGGCAGGGAAGGAGAAGAGGAAGGAGGGGAAGUGUUUAUAAAUGGCUUCAUUUUUCUAGAUAUUUACGUAUCAGAUGAAAUUUGCAGACCUACGUCUAUGAAAAACACACAUUUCAUAGAACAGCACUGGCAUGGGGGAAGGAGAUUGGCUGCUCUGCAGGCUGCUAAACAAUGAAGGCAUUUUCAGCUGAGCUACCUGAAAUGAUCCCCCAAGCUCCUGUAUCACCCCACAGCAGGACUCCUGUUCUGCAUUUUUGAUCCGAAGCUGGGAAGAUGCUCAGGGAAGGGGAGCUUGGGGGCUGAGUGGAGCCCUUAAAAACUAAAGAAUGAGAAAUGGAAUCACCUAUGCUAAGUGUUCAUGUAAUAUCAAGCUCUUCUUUGGGACAUUGGCAAGCUGUAUUUGUCUGUCAGGUACUAUCAACCAGCACAGCUCCUUGUGAUUUGCAUCUCUUUGUUGUAUUAAAACAGUUGAAACCAUGAUGCUUUAGGUGCAGUGGCUGAAAACCUGCUGGGUGUUUAAUGGUAGCAUUUGUACUAUUGGAGAUUAAUAGGAAGUUCUACUUUAAAACCUCUGGCAUCUCAGCAACCAAAACAAGAUGUUGUUAGCUAGCAAGAAGAAUGAAAGAGUCAGCUGUUCAGAAGGACUAAACUGCACAUGCCUUGUGAUAAAUGGCUAAUGUAUUCUAACGUGCACAGAAUUACAGUCUCUUUUCAGCAGCACAGGAGAUAUGUGAAAUAAAUUUCCUUUUGCACUGUU